rnacentral:lncRNA from 1 species
AUGUUAUGGUCGGGCUCCAAUAUGCACGGAAGAGGCCCAAUAGUGGGCCGCAUUAGGGGCUUAGCCCAAGUUAUCUAGGGUUUAGUGGAGGUUGUCCUCCUAUGUAAACACAUGUACCCCUUCGAUAUUAAGGAGACAAUAAACAGUAUUCUGUUGUCGUCUCCUGUUGUCAUCUCCCUCAGGAGACGGGAGCCCAAAACCUAGCCGCCUCUCUCUCUCUCACGCAGCGACGGCGCCCAACCGCCGGCGCCUGCGCCCCC